GAGGGAGCUUGCUCCCAAAGAUUAGCGGCGGACGGGUGAGUAACACGUGGGUAACCUGCCUGUAAGAUUGGGAUAACUCCGGGAAACCGGAGCUAAUACCGGAUAACAUUUUGAACCGCAUGGUUCGAAAUUGAAAGAUGGUUUCGGCUAUCACUUACAGAUGGACCCGCGGCGCAUUAGCUAGUUGGUGAGGUAACGGCUCACCAAGGCAACGAUGCGUAGCCGACCUGAGAGGGUGAUCGGCCACACUGGGACUGAGACACGGCCCAGACUCCUACGGGAGGCAGCAGUAGGGAAUCUUCCGCAAUGGACGAAAGUCUGACGGAGCAACGCCGCGUGAACGAUGAAGGCCUUCGGGUCGUAAAGUUCUGUUGUUAGGGAAGAACAAGUACCAGAGUAACUGCUGGUACCUUGACGGUACCUAACCAGAAAGCCACGGCUAACUACGUGCCAGCAGCCGCGGUAAUACGUAGGUGGCAAGCGUUGUCCGGAAUUAUUGGGCGUAAAGCGCGCGCAGGCGGUUUCUUAAGUCUGAUGUGAAAGCCCACGGCUCAACCGUGGAGGGUCAUUGGAAACUGGGGAACUUGAGUGCAGAAGAGGAGAGUGGAAUUCCACGUGUAGCGGUGAAAUGCGUAGAGAUGUGGAGGAACACCAGUGGCGAAGGCGACUCUCUG
rnacentral:rRNA from 1 species